CGUCAUCUCUGUUCUCAGGUAUAUGCUGGGCUUUCUUAGACUUAGCACAAACACAAUUAUCUCUCAGUUAUAGCGGUGUUUUUGUUGUUUUUGCUUCAUUUGUAGCCAGUGUUUGUCACACACUACUGUGCAUCAGAAUUUAAAAAAUUAAAUUCUAAAUUAAAAUAUUUGGCAGAUAGUGAUACAACAACAAUGGUUUUGACUCCCUUACCACAUUCUCAUGUUUGUGAAAAUUAUCACACAUACAGGAUUGGCUGUAAUGAUGUCAGCAGCUGAACAAGAAGCUUGCCACUUUCACUUUGUAUCUACCUAUCUGAUUACCAUGGUUGCAAGAUGAUGGAUUGAACACAUCACAGCCUGUCUCCCUUGUUCCUGGUCCUAAAAACGGUUUAAGAAAUGGCAAUAAAUCCAACAUCUCAACAACAAAAAAAGACAAGGAUGUUCAUUGGCCCACACAUUGUGAGCAUCUGAGGAG
rnacentral:lncRNA from 1 species